CCAUAUGCAACCCAUAACCCAAGCAAAUGCAGAUAACUGUGGUCCCAGGAUGCCUUGUUUCUGCAUGCCUCAGGACCUCUGCACGUGCUGUUUCGUUUGCUCGUAAUGCCAUUGCUGUCUUUGUCUGUCUGAUUAGGUUACCAUUCAAAGCUCAGCUCAAAAGCCCAGCUCCUUUUCUCUAAUCUCCCUCUACCUCUUCCCCUGUGCCCAAGGGGAACCACAGGUGACCUCAGGUGUCUUCCUUACCACCUGGAAACUAGUACAUAGUCACAGUAGCAAGAGUGAACACUUACUGAGCACUCUCAAUUUUUUUGCUUGUCUGAACUCACUUGAUCUUCACAACAAUUAUUCUCCCCAUUUUACAGAUGAGGAAACUGAGAGACAGUGAGGUUAAGAAAUGUGUAAGUGGCACAAGAAAUGGACUUCUCAGCCUCAAGCAACUCUGAAUUUGGGGCCAGACCAUUCUUCACUAUGCAGUCCAUCCAGUGCAUCCUAGGAAGUAGAGCAUGCUUGGCCUCCACCCAGGAGACAACCACAUGGCUGGUCAGCAUUUCAGGUUGACGUUGAUGGGAGGAAAACAGAAUGAGGCGGUUUAUAGUUUAAGGGCCUGACCUCUAGCGGCCAGCAAUGGUAACUCCUCCACGAGAGAACAAAUUGUCUCACAAAACCCGACAGGGAGUGAGCUUGGAGAGGCUUCCGAGAGCAUCUUUCUCUGCCCCCCUCACGUUGCAGGGGAGGAAACAGAGAUCCGCAGAAGAUGAGAAACUUGCGCGUGGCCGCUAAGACGGGGCUGGGGCCAAGGUCUCUUUCUUUCACUUCAUCUCCUCCAUUGCCCAGCACACAUUUAAAAGCUACUUUUCCUUAUAUAGUGCAGUUAAUCAACAAACAGAACAACAAUGGCAGACUCCAGUUUCAGGCGUCCAUUCUGUAAUUGCCACAAACCUGAUUAGAUAAGUGUGGAUAGAGAUUUCGGUUCCUUACUGGAUGAAAAACAGCUGGAUGGUAAGGGUCAUUUCUUAAUUAUCUUUGAAUCGCUAGGACUUGUCACCAUAGCUGCCACACGGUGUCAGGUGGACAGCAGAUAGCUAGAUGGACAGGUAAAUUUUAAUAUGAAAUUAGACAUCAGGGGGAGGGAAAUAGCUCAGUGGUAGAGCGCAUGUUUAACAUGCUGGAGGUCCUGGGUUCAAUCCCCAGUACCUCCAUUUUUUUUAAUUAUAUAAAUUUUUAAAAAGAAAGAAAGAAAUUAGACAUCAAUUAAAACUGAAAGCUAUCUGCCUAGUUUUCCAAUUACCAAAAUGGCAGAUCUAAGAUUUGAGAUCAACAGUUCAGUCUUACACUAAAAGCUACCGUCUUAAGCACUUGCCCUGGGGACCCCUGCUACCCAGGAAAGCCUCCCUAAAUUUCACAGAAGCAGCCUUUCCGGAUCUCUGAAUUAACACAGCUGAUUCAAGAGGAGAUUGUGUUUUUCAGACGCUCAGUCAAAAGUUUUUGCUCUCAAAU